UUUGUUUUUUAAUUAAAAACUAGAAUGAAAGGUAAAACAUUUGAAUUUCUUUAUUAAAUUUAUAUCAUUAAUUUAUAUUAAGUAUAAAAAUAUACUUUUAAAUAAAAAAGACGACAAGACCCUAUUAAACUUAACUUAUGUUAAACUGGGGCAGUUCAUUAAUAAAAAUUUUAAUAAAUUUUAAUUAAAUUAUAAAUAUCUAAUAUAAUUAAAUAAACAAGUUACUAUAGGGAUAACAGCGUUAUAUUUUUUAAAAGUUCAUAUUUAAAAAAAUGUUUGCGACCUCGAUGUUGAAUUAUAUUUCUAUAACAAAGCAACCAUUUUAUAAGUAGGUCUGUUCGACCUUUAAAAUAUUACAUGAUUUGAGUUCAAACCGGUGCAAGCCAGGUUGGUUUCUAUCUUUUUAUAAAUUUUUCUAGUACGAAAGGACAAAAAAAUAUUUAUUAAUAUUAAAUAGCAAACUUAUGCAUUAGAUUUAGAAUCUAAAUAUUUCUAGAUUUCCAUUAUAAAUUCAAUUAUUUAUAUUAUUAGAUUAUUAAUUACAGUAGCCUUUUAUACAAUUUUAGAGCGAAAAAUCCUAAGAUAUAUUCAAAUUCGAAAGGGUCCUAAUAAAGUAGGAAUAAUAGGAAUUUUACAACCUUUUAGUGAUGCAAUUAAACUUUUUAACAAAAACUUAACUUCUUUAGAAUCAAUAAACUUUAUAAUAUCCUAUUCUACACCAGCAAUAUCCUUAAUUUUAGCUAUAAUAAUCGUUUCUAUUAUUCCUAUAUAUAAAUAUUCACCUUUUGAUAAUAAAAAUAGAAUUAUAAUAUUUUUUGUUAUUUCUAGUUUAUCAAUCUAUUCUAUAUU
rnacentral:rRNA from 1 species